rnacentral:rRNA from 1 species
GGUUGAUCCUGCCAGUAGUCAUAUGCUUGUCAUAAAGAUUAAGCCAUGCAGGUGUAAGUACAAGUUAUUAUUAACGAAACUGCGAACGGCUCAUUACAACAGUUAUAAUCUACUUGAUCGUAAACUCCUACUUGGAUAACCGUGGGAAAUCUAGGGCUAAUACAUGAUAAGAUCCCAAACUGUGCUUGCAUGGAAUGGGUGAACUUGUUAGAUUAAAACCAAUGGGGUUCGCCCCUUCCUAGACGAUUCAUAACAAGUCAUUGUCGAAUCGUGGUCUUGUACCGCG